GACGAACGCUGGCGGCGUGCCUAAUACAUGCAAGUCGAACGGUGAAGCGAGGAGCUUAUUCUUUUUGGAAGAGUCGCGAACGGGUGAGUAACGCGUAGGUAAUCUGCCUUGCAGCGGGGGAUAACUAUUGGAAACGAUAGCUAAUACCGCAUAACAAUGGAUGACACAUGUCAUUUAUUUGAAAGGGGUCAUUUCUGCACGACAAGACGGACCUGCGUUGUAUUAGCAAGUAGGUGAGGCAACGGCGCACCUAGGCGAGGACACGUAGCCGACCGGAGAGGGCGGUCGGCCGGCCUGAGACGGCGACACGGCCCACACGCACUCGGGCAGCAGCCAGACUGCAUCGUCAGCCAGGAGUGCGACCCAGACCGAGCUACGCCGCGUGAGUGAAGAACGAUGCCGGGUCGGAGAGCACUGUUGUCAGUCAGGAAAGGGUGUGCGGGUGGAAAGUUCACACUGUGACGGUAGCUUAACAGAAAGCGACGGCUAACUACGUG
rnacentral:rRNA from 1 species